GGAUCCAGACUUUGAUCAUGGCUCAGGAUGAACGCUAGCUACAGGCUUAACACAUGCAAGUCGAGGGGCAGCGGGAUUGAAGCUUGCUUCAAUUGCCGGCGACCGGCGCACGGGUGAGUAACGCGUAUCCAAUCUUCCGUACACUCAGGGAUAGCCUUUCGAAAGAAAGAUUAAUACCUGAUAGUAUCUUAAGCACACAUGUAAUUAAGAUUAAAGAUUUAUCGGUGUACGAUGGGGAUGCGUUCCAUUAGGUAGUAGGCGGGGUAACGGCCCACCUAGCCAACGAUGGAUAGGGGUUCUGAGAGGAAGGUCCCCCACAUUGGAACUGAGACACGGUCCAAACUCCUACGGGAGGCAGCAGUGAGGAAUAUUGGUCAAUGGACGAGAGUCUGAACCAGCCAAGUAGCGUGAAGGAUGAAGGUCCUACGGAUUGUAAACUUCUUUUAUAAGGGAAUAAACCCUCCCACGUGUGGGAGCUUGUAUGUACCUUAUGAAUAAGCAUCGGCUAACUCCGUGCCAGCAGCCGCGGUAAUACGGAGGAUGCGAGCGUUAUCCGGAUUUAUUGGGUUUAAAGGGAGCGCAGACGGGUCGUUAAGUCAGCUGUGAAAGUUUGGGGCUCAACCUUAAAAUUGCAGUUGAUACUGGCGUCCUUGAGUGCGGUUGAGGUGUGCGGAAUUCGUGGUGUAGCGGUGAAAUGCUUAGAUAUCACGAAGAACUCCGAUUGCGAAGGCAGCACACUAAUCCGUAACUGACGUUCAUGCUCGAAAGUGUGGGUAUCAAACAGGAUUAGAUACCCUGGUAGUCCACACGGUAAACGAUGGAUACUCGCUGUUGGCGAUAUACUGUCAGCGGCUUAGCGAAAGCGUUAAGUAUCCCACCUGGGGAGUACGCCGGCAACGGUGCAACUCAAAUGAAUUGACGG
rnacentral:rRNA from 1 species